ACACGGGGAAACUUGUGCUAAUACCGAAUAAGCCCUUACGGGGAAAGUUUUAAUGCCGAAAGAUGAGCCCGCACUUGAUUAGCUAGUUGGUAAGGUAAAAGCUUACCAAGGCAACGAUCAAUAGCUGUUCUUAGAGGAAGACCAGCCACAUUGGGACUGAGACACGGCCCAGACUCCUACGGGAGGCAGCAGUGGGGAAUCUUGCACAAUGGGGGAAACCCUGAUGCAGCGAUGCCGCGUGAGUGAAGAAGGCCCUUGGGUUGUAAAACUCUUUCGUCGGGGAAGAAAAUGACUGUACCCGAAUAAG
rnacentral:rRNA from 1 species